CGGGGCGUAGCGCAGCCUGGUAGCGCGCCUGCUUUGGGAGCAGGAUGUCGGGAGUUCGAAUCUCUCCGCCCCGACCA
rnacentral:tRNA from 2 species